rnacentral:tRNA from 1 species
GCCUGGGUGGCUCAGUCAGUUGAGCGUCUGACUUAGGCUCAGGUCAUGAUCCCACAGUCUGUGGGUUCGAGCCCCACAUCAGGCU